rnacentral:tRNA from 1 species
GAGGGUAUAGCUCAAGCGGUAGAGCGCAUGCUUAGCAUGCAUGAAGUCAUGGGUUCAAUCCCUAGUACCUCCU